GCGCCCGUGGCGGAAUUGGCAGACGCGCUGGAUUUAGGUUCCAGUGCCUGAGGGCGUGAGGGUUCAAGUCCCUCCGGGCGCA
rfam:Corynebacterium maris DSM 45190, complete genome.